rnacentral:misc_RNA from 1 species
GAUGAAGAACGCAGCGAAAUGCGAUAAGUAAUGUGAAUUGCAGAAUUCAGUGAAUCAUCGAAUCUUUGAACGCACAUUGCGCCCCUUGGUAUUCCGGGGGGCAUGCCUGUUCGAGCGUCAUUAUCACCCCUCAAGCUCAGCUUGGUGUUGGGGCCGGCCCGUCACAGGGCCGCCCUUAAAAGCAGUGGCGGUGCCAUCUGGCUCUACGCGUAGUAAUACUCCUCGCGACAGAGUCCCGGUGGUCUCCUGCCAGAACCCCCCAUCUUUAUAAUGAUUGACCUCGGAUCAGGUAGGGAUACCCGCUGAACUUAAGCAUAUCAAUAAGCCGGAGGA